rnacentral:lncRNA from 1 species
UGGAUCCAGUACCGUGAUGAUACUCAGUACAGUCUGGCUGAAGAUUUUAAACUAAGUGCUCUUGGGAGGCAACCCAAUUUAUACAUUUCUUUCAAUUAUCUAAUUUAUUUUCAUAGAAAAAUCCAAGAAGGACACUCAUUGAAGUUGGGGGGAGCAUUCCAUCUAAGACCCAGAUGGAGUCACAAGCAAAUCACACCCACAAAGGAAGAACCUUUCACCCACCA